rnacentral:rRNA from 1 species
AGGACGAACGCUGGCGGCGUGCUUAACACAUGCAAGUCGAACGGUAAGGCCCUUCGGGGUACACGAGUGGCGAACGGGUGAGUAACACGUGGGUGAUCUGCCCUGCACUUCGGGAUAAGCUUGGGAAACUGGGUCUAAUACCGGAUAUGACUACGAAUCGCAUGGUUUGUGGUGGAAAGCUUUUGCGGUGUGGGAUGGGCCCGCGGCCUAUCAGCUUGUUGGUGGGGUGAUGGCCUACCAAGGCGACGACGGGUAGCCGGCCUGAGAGGGUGUCCGGCCACACUGGGACUGAGAUACGGCCCAGACUCCUACGGGAGGCAGCAGUGGGGAAUAUUGCACAAUGGGCGCAAGCCUGAUGCAGCGACGCCGCGUGAGGGAUGACGGCCUUCGGGUUGUAAACCGUCUUUCAGUAUCGACGAAGCGCAAGUGACGGUAGGUACAGAAGAAGGACCGGACCAACUACGUGCCAGCAGCCGCGGUAA